rnacentral:rRNA from 1 species
AACGUAGGGCGCGAGCGUUGCUCGGAAUCACUGGGCGUAAAGGGUCCGUAGGCGGGACUGUAAGUCGGGUGUGAAAUCCCUGGGCUCAACCUAGGAAUUGCGCUUGUGACUGGCGGGCUCGAGUACGGUAGAGGGGGGUGGAAUUCCUGGUGUAGCAGUGAAAUGCGUAGAGAUCAGGAGGAACACCGAUGGCGAAGGCAGCCCCCUGGGCCUGUACUGACGCUCAUGCACGAAAGCGUGGGGAGCAAACAGG